UACGAAGGGGGCUAGUGUUGUUCGGAAUCACUGGGCGUAAAGGGCGCGUAGGCGGCUUGACUAAGUCGGGGGUGAAAGCCUGUGGCUCAACCGACAGGAAUUGCCCUUCGAGUACUGUCGAGCUUGAGACCGGAAGAGGUAAGUGGAACUGCGAGUGUAGAGGUGAAAUUCGUAGAUAUUCGGCAAGAACACCAGUGGCGA
rnacentral:rRNA from 1 species